CGUAGAGGCUGAACGAUGACAAGGGAAGUCUGCCCUUCCCUGUUUUAUAGGGAGGAAGACAGUAUCUGUGACUCUGUUAAUGAUUUUCGAAUAAUUUCUUGUUAAACAAGGCAUACAUUUCGGAAAGUUAUUACUAAACUUGAGAGUUAAAAUCUAUUUUAAGGACGGUGGGGCAUUUAUCGUCCUGAUUACCCAAUUAGCAAGCAAUGUAGGCUACGUUGCUUGCAAGCCGACCCCACAGCUCAGGGCUAGCAGAACUGUGGCUGUGGUGAGCGCCCCCAAGUUAAAGACUGGCCAGUCACUCAUUCUGCCGAAGAUGUCAAAGCUGAUGCUAAAUGGCUGUCUUUGAAAGAACGGAAAGAACAAAGGAGACCGGCGUCUGGUAUUGGUCACUCUGGAAACAGCAGACCCAGGAAGAGGUGCUGGGCUCGCCUUGAGACAGAUAAGAUCAUCCCUCACAGACAAGGCACUGUAAUGAAACUGUGAGAUGCAGCUGCCGUACUUUGCUCUGUUAUGCAAUAUGACAUCAUCUGCAGUGUCCAGCAGCCAGACCACUAAGAAAAUGAAGGCAGCUUCCAUGUGAGUAAGCUGUUGUGAUUACAAAAGACAUUAACAGUAACAAGGAAGAUGACAGAAAGGCACUAAUUACUUGUCUUUUAUAAAAUAUUUCAGAAAAUAAUUUUUGAUGCAGCUGGGUGGCUCAAUCGGUAAAGGCACCACACUGUGAUGCACGGAUAAGCCACACAGUCUUGGAUCGAAACCUGACUGAGCUAAUGCCAAGUGUGGUCGGCAGCUCCAUAGGACGAUGUGCGAUUGGUAAUUGUAUCACCCAGGGUCUGAGAGGGUUAGGAGUCCGCAUUUCAUCGUGCUCCAGUUACCCCCGCUGGUUGAUAGGAUGUCCGUGGACUGCAUAUCAAAGCCGCAUAUGAAAGCUCUCAAAUAAUCUAUAUUGCUUUUUCAGAAAGAGAGACAUCAGAAAGAGAACUGACUUUAAGGAUAAACAAUAUGAGGUAACAUUAUUGUUUUUUAUUUUUAAAAAUACAAGCUAGCUAAUUCAGUGCUUACUCUGACUUAGCUACAUGUACUGUGGCUAUAAUAUUACCUAAUGUUAUGAUAAGAUAAAAAAAGUACAUAAGUAGCUAUGUACUUUUAUGGUAUUUAGCAACCAGUUGUGACAUGAAGUGAGCUUGAGCAGGUAUCACAGCCCAUUGGAAGAGGGUAGUGUUUCACAUCAGUGUUCAGGAAAUUGCGCUUGUACUAUACAGUAUCUCCAAGGAUGUAGAUUUGAUUCCUAGGUGGAUGCUGCCAUUGUGCAAUGCAUGGCAGUCUAGAUAACAUUAUAGUUAGCAAUGUAUCUAGCAAACAUUAUGUUAGCUAAGCAUAAUCCAGAAACAUACAUUAUGUGCAAAUAAGUGAACAUUUUCCAUUCUGUUCCCCUUUUGGCUUAGUUGUACGCUCUUUGUCCACAUUGAUUUCAUGUCUGGAGACAGUCCCUUGAAGAUGGUGAGACACUUGCUGUGGCUGUGCUUUACUCCAGUUACAAUGAAAUGCUGCACAAAAAUAUUCUCCCUCAACAAUGAUAAAUUGCCAAAGAACGCAUCUGCGUGAGUGCUGUGUGAGACGUAACCUGAAGUGGAACCAUUUUCUUUGAGAACCCUGUUUUUUUGUGCUUGCUUAAGACUUGAAGUCCUCAAAGAGGAUGAUUAAUUUGACGAGCAACAGCUGUGGCUCUUAGGCCACUUGUUCCCAUUCUGGAACUGAAUUUAACAAGUCCCAUGCACACUUUGUAAGAAACAUAUUCUGCGGGUUUUUGAUUUUAAAUUACAUUAAAUUUAGUUUGAGUCCUUUUGAGUACUGUAAAUUUUGCCCUUCUGCUUUUUGCUAUAACAAGGGCUUGGAAAGUGUCCUUUGCCAUUUCUGUUUUAUGUUAUUAUUAGCUUGCAGUUUGUUGUUCUCUAGUGUUGUGAUUGUUGUAUAAGUCCACAGCAACUCAUGAGGGCGGGAGGAACAUAAUGAAGUGCUGCAUAUGCCACAAAACGUUAAUAUUUUUAUGAAAGAAAAUACAAAGAGUGUACUGUUUCUGAAAUCCACUCUUUUCAAGACUCAUUCCUGCUUGUCUAUUUUAUAACAGUAGCUUACUGCCUGUUCCCAUGCAAUAACACUCCAAUGCUGCCCUUUCCCAAACCAAACAGUUUUCUUUAAUGUCAUGUGGAAAUCCAGUGGGUGCCCUGGGAAUCUUGUCAGUCUCAAGUAAUGACUUUAAGGAUUUAAAAUGGUAAAUAAAGGAAUAUACAUAGCUGUUUGCG